ACUGUGGAGAGGAGAGCGUGGCGGCUCGCCCGUGGUCGCCGGGUACGGGGCAGGCCGGUCAUCACCGGCCAUGGCUUCUCCCUCCCUGCUCAACCCCAGGUCCCGUCCCCAUCCCUAUCCCUCACGUUCCCCUCCUCUCCCUCUUUCUCCUCCUUCCCAUCCUCAAACCCUAGCCGCCGCCAGCCGCCAGAGCUUUGGAUCGAGGACAACGACGACCAUGCAAGACGCGCUCGCUACAGGACGGCGGUCGGGGAGGCCCCUGCUCGCUCUCGCGGCCCUCGUGGCCAUAGGGGUGUGAUUCUCGCGCGGGGCUGGGAGAGGAGGGGGGCUAGGUGGAGGUCCGCGACUGAGGGCAGCCGGCGGCGACCACAGCGGCCUCCUCACCGCUCUUCGUGGGGCGCGAGGAGCUCAACCUCGUCGGUGGUUUCGGGAUCCAUGGAGGCCGACAGGUGGCGACCGGGACGGCAGCCGCGAAGAUCCAUGGUUGGCUGGGUUGUGCGACCAGAAGGAGCCGCCGACGAGGACCCACGUGCCUCUCAAGUAAGGACACAACCGUCCCCUCUCUUUCUUCAGCGAUUUUUGGCAGAUUCUUUUGUGGGCACGUGCCUCUCAAGUUUCAGGGUUCCUCAGACUGCCGGCCAGGGUUUGAGUGAAGGCCACACCGCGAGGCCAUGAACCAAGGUGGAGAUGUUCUGCAGUCACAGGCUUGCUCAUUGACAAGGAGGACGACAGUCGAUGGCAGUAGGAAAUAGCCAUGUACUGCAGCAAGGGCAUGAGGAGGAGCCGAACAACUACAUAGUCCUUUUUCAGCAUGACUAGAACAAUGCCUUAUUUUGUAAGCUCUUAAAGCUGGAUCUACUAGAUUAUCUACACAUUAAGCAGAACUCCAAUCCAUUCAUUUGUGUGCCACUUGGAAAUAUGGCUGGCGAUACUACACUUAUGGCAAUAGCUAGCAUAUACUCUGUCUUUUAGAUUUAACCUGAACUCUGAAGACCAUGCUAGAUAAUGUGGUAAUAUCACAGGAACUUUGUUGUGUUCUUUCAUGUCUGCUCCUUAUCUUUCUGCUUCCUUUGGCCGGCGAUGAACGGACCGUGUUGCCGUGACUGCCUAUCUGCGCCUUUGCUCGAAUAUUUGUUUUGCUAUUUAUACUAAGUUACUAACUUCAAGUGUUCAGUGAAUACAACAGUAUGGCUCUGAAGUUUCAGACCAAAGCUUGCAAAUUUGUGUUCACGUGGGUAUUGAGAAAAUUUACUGAAAAUUCUUUUAUUUUGGUUUAUCUUGCUGAAAGGGUUUACUUUUCUUUGGUUUAAUUUGGUUUUCAUUGUUCUGCAGAGGUGAAUUGUUGAGGUACUUGAGCUGGUCCUCAUGGUAAAAAUGGAAUGCGUCGAGAUUGGCAUAUACAUGAUGCUAUGACGGGCCAUAUGGUAUUGAAGACUACAAGGGGAGACCUGCUGAUAGCUACAUGUAUAGAUGCAGCUCAGAUUAAUCCGCUCUCAUUUAGAGAAUGAUGUUGCAGCCUAUGUAGAGUGUAGACAGAGAGUUGCUUGCAUUGGUCCCAGGCAGGUGCUUACUACUCAUGUCUACCCCUGUUUAUUGGUAAUAAUAUUAUGUUGAUGGCUAUGUGUUAUCAUUGUUACUACCGAUUCUGCCCAUUUGCUUUCUGGUGGUAGUGACAUUAGCCUGCAGAGAUAUAAGUUUAAUUAAGUUUCCUGCCACCUAAUGCAUCAUAUAUCCUGUCUAUGAAACGCUGGCAUCAUCAUAUGAGUUUUUGUAUAUGUUUGUAAAUGAAGUAUAUUGUCCUCUUAAUUGAGGUUCUAUCCAAUUAUGGACGACAUACACUAAUUCAACCAGAGAUCUCAUCUUGCAAGUAAAAAUAUCGGUGUGAAAAUUAAUUCAGCCAGAGAGCUGAUCUCCUGAGUAGAUAUAAAACAAUCCUCGUGAUGAGGAUGGCAAAGGCUAAAACAUUUGCAGAACAGAGGGAUACACAUCUACUUUGAAACAUAGAUUAGUUGAUCAUAUAUUGAGCACCAAGGAGGAUUGUUUUUCUAAGAAAUAAUAUAGACUAGGCUGCUUGCACCUGAUGGACCUUCUUAUAUUGACGACAUUUCAGAGGUUUUCUUAUCUAUAUGUUGACUGCAAAAAUGAUAUGAUGGGUGAGUUGUCAUGCAGAAAUGAGAGGCGGCCAGGUGAGAUUUGUAUGUCAGACCAAAGUAGGGCUGCAGGAAUUAUCCUUAGAUGCCAUUUUUCUGGCUCGUAGUUUGCUUCCAAUUAUUUAUUUCAUAUUGACACUUGCUUAGACUUGGGCUUGUGCCAUGCCACGUUGUCUAUUGAUAACCCCCUGAUCUUAUUUGUCAUAUUGCCUUCAUUUAACCAUGACAAAGUCGCUCCAGACCUUUUAUUACAUAUAAGUCGUAUCUUGAAAUCUACUAAUUCGUGUCUUUCAUCUAUGUCCGUUUGAAGAUACACUCGUCUUGAUCUGGACCUGUGUUUGGUUCCUAGAAGAGGCUUACACGUAUAGGGUUGUUAUACAACAGCCUUAAAAUAGGUGCCCUUCUAAAUAAUGAUGGUGCCCUUCUAAGUAGACAUAUUUAAACUUUCCUACUAUGGUAACUCAGUUUUGGAUGUCCCGACUAAUGAUGGUUCCCUUCUAAGUAGGUAUAGAAUAUAGUAAUAUACCUCGGUUAACUGAUAAUAUUUAGUUCUAUGAGAUUGCCCCAAGUCUAAUAUUGUUGGUGAGAUCUCACUCCAAAUUAACUAUCUAAAUGCGGCUCUUCUUUGUGGUACUACUAUCUUGUGUGUAUCUACUUAUUCUAAGAAAUUUUGAUGGAAAAGACAAAAUAAAUCCUCCCUGUAUUUUUAUAAUUGUAACAUUGCUAACUGCCGCUGAGCUGUAGUAUUAGUUGUCCACUCUGUAUAUUACUAUUUUUCUGUGAUAUCUAAUUGUGCUUUUAAUCUGCACUCUGCAGGUACCCAUCAUACUCUGGACCAAAUAUAUGGCGAGCUGAUCCUCUGCCUGAGCUUGAAAUAGAUAUGACUAGGCGAACUAUCCUGGCAUUGAAAAUCUACCUGCAAGAUUUCACAUCUUUAUUCGCACUGCAUUAAAAGUUGUCUUGGUAUUCUGUCUUGUAAAUCGUUUAAAACUCUUGGAAAGCUAAUGUUGGAGGUCACUUUAACUUAGUAUGGUUCUGUGAAGAAAUACAAAUUUAUAGGUAACUGUGUUACGAAUGACCCAGUAGUGAAACUCAAUGCAGCAAUGUAUCUACAUGAUUCUGGGUACAUUCGAAACUAUUUAAAUGCAUUCAUGCACAAACAACUUCCAUUUUUUGUAUAUAUAAGAACUAGAUGGCAGCUCCAGGUCUGUAGUUUCCAAGGCACACAUACAAUAUGUUUGCUAGAUGUGAACUGAUAGGUUCUGAUCAUGCCUGAUAGUUGGUUCUGUAAAAUGCAAAUGUUUUCUCCAUGUGCAUUACCUGAUGUCUAUCUUGAUGAGCAAUAAAUAAGCCAAAGUAUGUACAUCCUAGAUUUUACACUUCACUGUUUAAAUGUGAGCUUACUCUACUCUUCCUCCAUUGCAUCUAGAUAUACAAUUUCAUUUUUGAUAUAAGAUUGUAAUUGGGCAGCGUUAAUUAUUUCUGCGGUCCAUGCUAUGUGGAACCUUGCUUCAUUGCUUUACUGUCUCUUUUCUAGAGAUUGGUCAUGUUAUUGUUGUUUACUAAACAAAGACGCCACUGCUAUUUGUAAGAUGUUUCAGUGUUAUUUUUUGUAGCCAGGGGAGAGCUUGGAAGGGGCAGGGAGAAGGGAAAGCAUGGAAAGCCUGGGGAAAGCUUGGAAGUUGGUCAAGUCAUUUACCAUUGUGUUUUUUUUUGUUGAAUAAUCUAUUUUUCAUUCAUGAAAGCUAUGGUAGUGGAACAACUACACUGUGUACCCAAACUUGGCCCUCUAUGACUGUAUUUGGAUAGUAUUUUCACUGAACCAUCUACCCAGGUUUAUAUAUACUUCAUGUAUUAUGCAAUUA